GAUGAACGCUGGCGGCGUGCUUAACACAUGCAAGUCGAACGAAGCACUCGAUUUUAGUUCCUUCGGGACUGAUUAUGUUGUGACUGAUUGGCGUACGGGUGAGUAACGCGUGGGUAACCUGCCUUGUACAGGGGGAUAACAGUCGGAAACGGCUGCUAAUACCGCAUAAGCGGACAGCAUCGCAUGAUGCAGUUGGUAAAGCACCGGCGUUAUAAGAUGGACCCGCGUUGGAUUAGCUAGUUGGUGAGGUAACGGCCCGCCAAGGCGACGAUCCAUAGCCGAUCUGAGAGGGUGACCGGCCACAUUGGGACUGAGACACGGCCCAGACUCCUACGGGAGGCAGCAGUGGGGAAUAUUGCACAAUGGGCGAAAGCCUGAUGCAGCAACGCCGCGUGAGCGAAGAAGUAUUUAGGUAUGUAAAGCUCUAUUAGCCGGGAAGAUAAUGACAGUACCGGACGAAGAAGCACCGGCUAACUACGUG
rnacentral:rRNA from 1 species